rnacentral:rRNA from 1 species
UACGUAGGGUGCAAGCGUUGUCCGGAAUUAUUGGGCGUAAAGAGCUCGUAGGCGGUCUGUCACGUCGGCUGUGAAAACCCGGGGCUCAACCCCGGGCCUGCAGUCGAUACGGGCAGACUAGAGUGCGGUAGGGGAGACUGGAAUUCCUGGUGUAGCGGUGAAAUGCGCAGAUAUCAGGAGGAACACCGGUGGCGAAGGCGGGUCUCUGGGCCGAAAUUGACGCUGAGGAGCGAAAGCGUGGGGAGCAAACAGG